AUAGUAAGAUAAUAGAUUUUAUUUCUUUUGUUAAAUUAAUUCUAUUGCAUGAAUGCAAGAGAAAGAAUAAAAUAAAAUAGAAUAAAAGAGCAUAUUGUAGUUAAAAUUCCU
rnacentral:ribozyme from 1 species